GCCAGCAUGGCGUAGUGGUUUGUGUUGGACUAUACAACUCAGGAGACCAGGGUUCAAUUCCCAGCUUGGCU